rnacentral:rRNA from 1 species
ACGCUCGACACCUACGGGGAGGGCAGCAGGUGGGGAAUAUUGCACAAUGGGGGAAACCCUGAUGCAGCGACGCCGCGUGAAGGAAGAAGUAUUUCGGUAUGUAAACUUCUAUCAGCAAGGGAAGAAAAUGACGGUACCUGACUAAGAAGCCCCGGCUAACUACGCGCCAGCAGCCACGGUAAUCUGAGCGGGCUGGCAAGGC